rnacentral:rRNA from 1 species
UACGUAGGGUGCGAGCGUUGCCCGGAUUUAUUGGGUUUAAAGGGUGCGUAGGCGGCCUAUUAAGUCAGGGGUGAAAGACGGUAGCUUAACUAUCGCAGUGCCUUUGAUACUGAUGGGCUUGAAUGUACUUGAGGUAGGCGGAAUGUGACAAGUAGCGGUGAAAUGCAUAGAUAUGUCACAGAACACCAAUUGCGAAGGCAGCUUACUAAAGUAUGAUUGACGCUGAGGCACGAAAGCGUGGGGAUCAAACAGG